GCGCCCGUAGCUCAGGGGACAGAGCGGCUGGCUUCGGACCAGCAGGCCGGGGGUUCGAUUCCCUCCGGGCGCUCCA
rnacentral:tRNA from 1 species